AACCUGCCCUCGUGUGGGGGAUAGCCGGGCUAACGCCCGGGUAAUACCGCAUACGGUCCUUUGGGGGAGUCCCUGGGGGAAGAAAGCUCCGGCGCACGGGGAGGGGUUCGCGGCCUAUCAGCUAGUUGGAGGGGUAAUGGCCCACCAAGGCGACGACGGGUAGCUGGUCUGAGAGGAUGGCCAGCCACAUUGGGACUGAGAGACGGCCCAGACUCCUACGGGAGGCAGCAGUGGGGAAUCUUGCGCAAUGGCCGAAAGGCUGACGCAGCGACGCCGCGUGUGG
rnacentral:rRNA from 1 species